AUUGAACGCUGGCGGCAGGCCUAACACAUGCAAGUCGAGCGGAUGAGGGAGGCUGCCCCUGGAAUUAGCCGCGGAAGGGGGGGGAAAUGCCUGGGAACUGGCCGGGUGUGGGGGGAUAACGUCGGAAAAGGGCGGCUAAUACCCAAUCGGUCCGGGGGGGGAAAGGGGGGGUUCUUGGGCCCCAAGCCUAUCAAUUGGCCUAGGUCGGAUUAGCUAGUUGGUGGGGUAAAGGCCUACCAAGGCGACGAUCCGUAACUGGUCUGAGAGGAUGAUCAGUCACACUGGAACUGAGACACGGUCCAGACUCCUACGGGAGGCAGCAGUGGGGAAUAUUGGACAAUGGGCGAAAGCCUGAUCCAGCCAUGCCGCGUGUGUGAAGAAGGUCUUCGGAUUGUAAAGCACUUUAAGUUGGGAGGAAGGGCAGUAAGUUAAUACCUUGCUGUUUUGACGUUACCAACAGAAUAAGCACCGGCUAACUUCGUG
rnacentral:rRNA from 1 species